rnacentral:rRNA from 1 species
ACUUGAUCUCAAAUCAGAUAAGAGUACCCGCUGAACUUAAGCAUAUCAAUAAGCGGAGGAAAAGAAACUAACAAGGAUUCCCUUAGUAACGGCGAGUGAAGCGGGAAGAGCUCAAAUUUGAAAUCUUCAAGGUUCUACCUUGACGAAUUGUAGUUUAAAGAAGUGUUUUCUGUUAGAUGAGUAGCAAAAGUUCCUUGGAAUGGGACAUCAUAGAGGGUGAGAAUCCCGUAUUUGGUUAUUCAUUCUAGCUUUGUGAUACACUUUCAAAGAGUCGGAUUGUUUGGGAAUGCAGUCCAAAAUGGGUGGUAAAUUUCAUCUAAAGCUAAAUAUUGGCGAGAGACCGAUAGCGAACAAGUACCGUGAGGGAAAGAUGAAAAGAACUUUGAAAAGAGAGUUAAACAGUACGUGAAAUUGUCAAAAGGGAAGCGUUUGACACCAGUGUUGUUUCUCCGAAAAUCAAUUACGAAUGGCUUGAUUUUGUGUUGUAUUGACCUUAUCAGCUUUCUGCACUUUUUUCGAGUCUUUCUUAAUGCACUUUUUGGUUAACAAGUCAACAUCAAUUUCUUUUGUUGUAAAAGAGUAUUCGGAAGGUGGCUUUCUUUUCGGAGAAAGUGUUUAUAGCCCUAUACUUCUACAAUCGGAGAGAUUGAGGUCUGCAGCGUAGAUCCUUCGGGGUUAGAUACACUUGUGCUAAGUUGUAGCUUUUCAUAGACAACUUGUUGACUAUGUUUAGUCAUGCGGCUUACUCGCUUGUGCUAUUUUACCUACGCUUAGGAUGUUGACAAAAUGGUUUUAAACGACCCGUCUUGAAACACGGACC